rnacentral:tRNA from 1 species
GUCGUCGUAGCCCAACCGGCAGAGGCACAGCGUUGAGAGCGCUGCCAGUGGAGGUUCGAAUCCUCCCGACGACA